rnacentral:rRNA from 1 species
GAUGAACGCUGGCGGCGUGCCUAAUACAUGCAAGUCGAGCGAAUCUUCUUCGGAAGAUUAGCGGCGGACGGGUGAGUAACACGUAGGCAACCUACCCAAUAGACUGGGAUAACUUCGGGAAACCGGAGCUAAUACCGGAUAACAAUUUAACCUGCAUGGGUUGAAUUUGAAAGCUGGCUUCGGCUAGCACUAUCGGAUGGGCCUGCGGCGCAUUAGCUAGUUGGUAGGGUAAUGGCCUACCAAGGCAACGAUGCGUAGCCGACCUGAGAGGGUGAUCGGCCACACUGGGACUGAGACACGGCCCAGACUCCUACGGGAGGCAGCAGUAGGGAAUCUUCCGCAAUGGACGAAAGUCUGACGGAGCAACGCCGCGUGAACGAUGAAGGCUUUCGGGUCGUAAAGUUCUGUUGUUAGGGAAGAACAAGUGCAAGGCGAAUAGGUUUGCACCUUGACGGUACCUAACCAGAAAGCCACGGCUAACUACGUGCCAGCAGCCGCAG